AAAUAAACAGUCACAAAAAUCUGAAUGGAUCAUUUCGAUAGAUCAUACAAAUGAAUCAUCUGGAUGGAGAUGAAAAAUGCUGAAACGAACAUCCCCUAAUAGUAGCAACUAGCUUUUGACCCGCGCGGACGCGCAUGUGUAUUUUUUUCAUAAAAUUUAUAGUUUAUAUAUAUUAAAUAAUAUAUAAAAUACAUUUUCCAUAUACAUAUUUGCAGUAUUUUGAAACCGGACCGAAUCGGCUUGUCGGACCGUGACUCGUUCCUCAAAUCGAUUCCCAGUUGUGCUAAAAAUCGUAUUUAACUUAAACCGGCAAAUCUGUGCGUCCGCUAGGGUUUUUGUUUAUUAUUCAUACCAUAUAUAUAUUUUUUAUUCAGACCAUUUUUUAAUUGUAUUGUGUUAUAUAUUUUUCUUAUUGGAUGUGUGUUUCAUAAGUUAGUAAUAUUUAAAAAAAACUAUGUAUUAAUAUACAAUGUGAAUAUAAUUUGUUUUAAAAAAAGAUUGUAUCAAUUUAAAAUUGUAUAUAUUUAUUUUAUAUCAUAUCUAUGCAAUUAUUUUUAUACCACAUAAAUUGAAAAAAUCAAAUAUAAAUUUGUACAUAAAGUAAAGUAUACCUAAAUAUUUUUAUCUGAAAUUUAAUUUGAUAUUGAAUAAUAUUGACCACUUGAAUCUAAAUAUAAUCUAUUGAUUUCAUAAUUAUUAACAUUGUGAUAUACUAUUUUAUUUUAUCAUGCAUUAUCCAUAAAUAGAUUAACAUUAUAGCUCAAAAAAAUAAUUGUAAACAAAGCCCAUUUUCUAACUGUUUAUUCGAGGAAAAGUAAAAAAGAAAACGUGUAUCCAAACUUUCUCUUUAACUUUUUGUCCGUUGGCUUACCUCUCUCUCUUAUAUUGGCUUCGAUUGUCAUCUAUAGAAAAGAGGGAUUGAAGAAUCAAAUCCAUAGUGAAAGCUACUAUUUUAUGUUUAUCAACUUCAUUCACUCAAUUAAUGUAUUUGCCAAGUCAAUUGAUCUAUUUUAUCAAAGAUCUCUAGUCUACAUGAGUAGAUCGGCCAUCACGUUUCGACUGUCAAGACAUGCAAUCAAAAAGUCAAAAUCCACAUUGAUAGAAGACAAUCACCUCCAUGAAGACAGCUUCUCGUGGUAGAAAGAGUGCUGCAGGGUACGACUUGACCUGCUUAAUUUUGGGAGUGAGGGGACUUUGGGAGUCAUAACUGAGAGUCAUUGUUUGAGGAUAGUCAUUGUUUGGCUGUGGCUAUGGAAGGAGAGGUGCAGAGAGGGUCAUUUAUACAAUAUACGACUGAAGGGAGAAGGACAUAAAAUCAAGCUGUCAGAUAUAAAAAAACAUGGGGAAGAGACAAAAGACAUGACCAAAUUCAAGAUAUACAGCUACAAAUGAAGAGAACAACCUUGCUCAGAUAAUUUGACAAUGCACAACGGUUAGUAAUUACUUAUCCAUACUACGAAAUCCAUAGGAUGUCAGAAGAAUGUUGCAUUAUGUAGAAUAAGUUAUAAGAUUGAUAGAACAUGGCCUUAAGUUUAGAUGUUUGGGGAACAUACUUGACCGAUUGAUGCAUAUCUGUGUAUUAUGUAGAUGAUAAUUUUAUAUGAAAAUUUUAUUUUUUAAAUAAUUAGUUUGAGAUGACAAAAGAGAAUGAAUUAUAUGUUGAAAACAAAAGACAGAGAAAUAAAAAAUGUUGUUCAUCUAAACUAUUAAAAAUGUGUUAUGAAGCAUAAGAAAAAGUCAUCAUUCUUCCACCAGAGCACACACGUAUGAUCAUCUUCUACUGAUGUUUUGUAGUUCGAUAUUGACCACAAGCUGAAGUUAGGGAAACAUUUUCAAUAACUCCCCAUUCUCCCGUAGGCAAAUCACGUUGAACUCGGUAUAUGAGAGUUCGUUUGCAAGUAGCAUGGAUCUUUUUAUCCUAAAAACACACACAGUCAUAUUAGAUCCAAGUAAAGCAAAGAAAUGUAAUGAAUGGAAGAAAAGCUACAAAUAAAAAAUUACCCAUGCAUCAGCUAAAACCAUCUCGAAUGAAUCACCUCCAAAAAGUGUGUUUUCGUUGCCAUGAAUGUAAAUACUUCACUUGAACUCGCCGAUUAUUUUUAGAAGGUCUUAGUUUUUUGAGAACGUUAGCUUAGACAUGUUUAGGUUUUCUGGAUGCGUUUUUAUACGGAGGAUAGAUGAGAUAUAUAUAGUCGGCAUAGGGAAGGGUAGGUUUAAUAGGAUCAACUCAUAAUAUUUUGGUAGUUUUGAUUUUAAUGCCAAAUCAAACCAAAUAUAUACAUUCCUUUUAAAUUAUACCAUAAUAAAAACAAAAUAUAUACUUUCUAUAGAUAAGGAAUAUGUGUUUGUCAUGUUUAAAUAAAAGGAAAUUAUAAUUGUGCUAAUUAAUAGAUAUCCUUUUUUGAUAUGGUGAGUGCGUAGAAAUAGGAAAAAAACUUUGGAUGUUGUUUUGUUUUUGAAUAAAGAAUAUUUAGUUAUGAUUUUCUGUAAUUAAUAUUAGGGCUGUUCAAUAUGGCAAAAUAUGGCUGAUAUAUGACUAAAUCAUAUGUCUCCAUUUAUGACUAUAGACAUAUUAUGGCUGAUAUAUGACUAAAUCAUAUGUCUCCAUUUAUGACUAUAGAGCAACUAAAUGUUCGUGACAAAUUCAUAUAAAAAAAGGCAAACAAAAAUAUUUCUAAAUCCCAAAUGAAUUUUUAAACCCUAAACUCUUAACAUAAAUCUCAAAACUCUAAUAUUUUCAUAUUUUAACCUCACAUCUUAAAUUUAAAUAUAAAAUUUAGUAUUUUCAAAUUUUUUUCACAUAUUCUGAAAGUAAACCCCAAACACCCAACCCGUAAGUCACAAAAAAUAAACCUUAACCUUUACAUAAAGUUUCAAAAUUACUAUAAUACACCUAAACUAAUAUCCAAUAUUUAUAAAUUUUUUUUUUCAAAUCUUAUUUAAAAACCUUAACUUCGUAUUUAAAUUUAAAGUCCAAACCCUUUUCUUCAAACUCCAAACCCUUUUCUUCAAACUCCAAACCCUAUAUCAUAAAUUUUAUCUCUAAAUUUGGUUUUUUCAUUUUUAGAACUAUGCAGAUGUGUACUUUAAAUGAAUUAACUUAGAAUUUUAAUCAAACUUGUAAUAAACAUUAAAAAAAUUAAAGAAAUAUCAGGAAUAAAAAAUUCUAUCGUAAGUUUCAAACAAAAAAAAAACAUUCUAUCGUUUGCUGUACAACCAAAAUAAAACUUGCCCCGUCAAAAAAAAAGAAAAUUUCCUAUUGGCUAAUUCAUAAGCACAAGAAUCAAGUUUUUGACCGUCGGAUGAGACUAAAUCAACGGACUAAAGUUAUUAAUUUUUCAGAUCUGCAUAUCUUUUUUUUACCAAACAGAUCUGCAUAUCUCUCGACAGAUUCUCUUAUUUGAUUUCAUCUCCUAAUCUCUUCAUUCUUAAGAUUUCUUCACUGCUAGCCUCUUCAUUCUCUUAACGAUCUCUGCUCCCAUAUCUCUUCAGCUUCGCUACCGUCUCUGUCAAUGGUCGUUCUUUGAUUUUGGUCCAUGUUAAAGAAUCGGAGGAGUGAAGGAGAACCAGAGGAGGAAGGAGAGAGAAGAGAAGGAAGAAAAUGAGAAGGAUGAACCAGCAUGAGAGGUGGAGACAUGAAGGUGUUCCGGUGUACCGUCACAGCGUCCGUUGUCGCUCCGGCAUGACUGUUCAGAUUAUUUAAGAAGAAAGACGAGGAAGAAGAAGAGUAGGAGGAGACGUAAGAAGAGUGGUUUCUCCUGAUGUCUACUUGUUCACUGCAGCGAUUAACGCAUUUUGCAAGGGAGGGAUGGAAUGAGGAUGAGUGGGAGGUAUGAUGAGGCAUUUAUGUGUAAGGAGAGCUAUGGCUUUGGAGACAAAGCGUUGAGUUGCUGAGAAGAUGCAUGCUAAUCAAUUAGGUUUAGUUUUUUUUUUAAUUUGGUUUAGUUUUAUAAACCAAUUUUAAUCUGUAAGUUGGUUCGACUAAAAAAUAUUUGUAAGUUGGUUUUAAUUUAUAAACCAAAUUAGUAAAUCAACUUUAUUUCGUAUGUACUGAAUUUUAUAUUUAAUUUUAACUGUAAGUUUAAAUUUUUCAUAUAAUUAAUUUUAUUUUUGUAAUUCA